CAAUAGCGUAUAUUAAAGUUGUUGCAGUUAAAAAGCUCGUAGUUGGAUUUGUGGCGUACGGUGUGUUCCGGGCACUUGUUGUCUGAGUAACCUGCUGUUGCCAUCCUUGGGUGGAACCUGUGUGGCAUUAGGUCGUCGUGCAGGGGAUGCCCAUCAUUUACUGUGAAAAAAUUAGAGUGUUCAAAGCAGGCUUAUGCCGUUGAAUAUAUUAGCAUGGAAUAAUGAGAUAGGACUUUUUUGCUAUUUUGUUGGUUUGCGCAAAGAGGUAAUGAUUAAUAGGGACAGUUGGGGGUAUUCGUAUUCCAUAGUCAGAGGUGAAAUUCUUGGAUUUUUGGAAGACGAACUACUGCGAAAGCAUUUACCAAGGAUGUUUUCAUUAA
rnacentral:rRNA from 1 species